rnacentral:rRNA from 1 species
GACGAACCGUGCAACCGUUGUUCGGAAUCACUGGGCUUAAAGGGCGCGUAGGCGGGCCAGCCAGUCUGUGGUGAAAGCCUCCAGCUUAACUGGAGAAGUGCCGUGGAUACUGCUGGCCUCGAGGAGGAUAGGGGCAUCUGGAACGGUCGGUGGAGCGGUGAAAUGCGUUGAUAUCGACCGGAACUCCGGUGGCGAAGGCGAGGUGCUGGGUCCUUUCUGACGCUGACGCGCGAAAGCCAGGGGAGCAAACGGG